UACGUAGGGUGCGAGCGUUGUCCGGAAUUAUUGGGCGUAAAGGGCUCGUAGGCGGUUUGUCGCGUCGGGAGUGAAAUCCACUGGCUUAACUGGUGGCUUGCUUUCGAUACGGGCAGACUGGAGGUAUGCAGGGGAGAACGGAAUUCCUGGUGUAGCGGUGAAAUGCGCAGAUAUCAGGAGGAACACCGGUGGCGAAGGCGGUUCUCUGGGCAUGACCUGUCGCUGAGGAGCGAAAGUGUGGGGAGCGAACAGG
rnacentral:rRNA from 1 species